rnacentral:tRNA from 2 species
GCGCCCUUAGCUCAGUUGGAUAGAGCAACGACCUUCUAAGUCGUGGGCUGCAGGUUCGAAUCCUGCAGGGCGCGCCA